CUACACCUAUAACAAUCAUUUGAGUGCAAUUAACAUUAUUAUUCCCAGCUCUGUUUUAAGCCUUCUCUUCUUGUAGAAAGUGACCUGG